CCUACGGGUGGCAGCAGUGCGGAAUAUUGGUCAAUGGACGAGAGUCUGAACCAGCCAAGUAGCGUGAAGGAUGACUGCCCUAUGGGUUGUAAACUUCUUUUAUAUGGGAAUAAAAUGUUCCACGUGUGGGAUUUUGUAUGUACCAUAUGAAUAAGGAUCGGCUAACUCCGUGCCAGCAGCCGCGGUAAUACGGAGGAUCCGAGCGUUAUCCGGAUUUAUUGGGUUUAAAGGGAGCGUAGGUGGAUUGUUAAGUCAGUUGUGAAAGUUUGCGGCUCAACCGUAAAAUUGCAGUUGAAACUGGCAGUCUUGAGUACAGUAGAGGUGGGCGGAAUUCGUGGUGUAGCGGUGAAAUGCUUAGAUAUCACGAAGAACUCCGAUUGCGAAGGCAGUUCACUGGACUGCAACUGACACUGAGGCUCGAAAGUGUGGGUAUCAAACAGGAUUAGAUACCCUUGUAGUC
rnacentral:rRNA from 1 species